rnacentral:lncRNA from 1 species
GGCUGGUUCUCCUCCUCCCACAUGCGUCUUUCCUGCUUGUUGACUUGCAUUGGACUGAUUUAGAACCAUGUUUGAUGCAUCUAGACUGGCAAGCCCAAGACGGAAGAAUCUGUGGAGAUGAGACUGUGAUGUGACUUCCGAAGAUAAGGAAGAGAUGGCUUGAAAGUAUGGCAUCACUUUGGUAUUUAGUGCAGUGAUGGGAUUGUCAUCACACUCAAUGUUUUGUAGCUGUUCCUGGUGCCUAGGGGAUAUUUAGCGAAGGCAAGGGAAAGGGAAGAUUUCAAGCAACAGACGGAUGGGAAGCCUUGAAAAUUUCGCCAAACCCGCCAGUCCCUCGCAUUCCUGUUUCUCGUGUUUCUUUGGUUAAAGCUUGGAAGCCGUUUGCAAUGGAAAGAGGCUGAGAUUUUAGAGGAAGGGGUUCAAACUCUUGCUCCUCCAUUCAAGACUUUUGUUGAGGAGCCGGCCUGGUGGCGCAGCGGUUAAGUUCGCACGUUCUGCUUCUCAGCGGCCCGGGGUUGGCCGGUUCGGAUCCUGGGUGUGGACAUGGCACCGCUUGGCACACCAUGCUGUGCCUUCAAGUCCUCAUCUGUAAAAGGAAAAAGAACAGGAGAACUCCUGGAAGGUCCAUACCAGACGCUGCAGACACUUGCUCAGUUGCCUGCGGAUGGAUUUGCUCUGGCUGCGGGUAAGGUGUGUGUCUUCUCCACACUUCCGUUCUCUCCACUUUCUCUUUGAAACGCCUCAGGGAUAAUUCUCAGGAAUAAAUGCUAAUAAAAAUAGCAACAGCAAUAAAACCACUGCAACGACAAUAAUAAAAGCUAAUAUUUAUUUACAACCUGCCAGGCACCAGGCUAAAUGCUUUACCCGGGACUCCUUCUUUGCUCGUCACCACCAUUUUGCAAGGGAGCAGCUGUUCGCCCCAUAUUACUGAUAAGAGACCAAGAUGAGUUAAGAAACUUGAUCAAGAUCACACCGUUAUGCGUCUAAGUGGCAGUAAGAACUUGUUUCACAGGAUGUCUCAGAUAGAUGCUAAUAAAGCCUUUUGGAUACAUAAAGGAAUAAAUUAUGGUUAAUCUCUACUUCAAAAUGAAAAAGAACUGAAAGGAAAUGGAAAGAAAGAAAAUUUUAACUACAGAAUUAAAUAAAUGAAAAGAAUUUCCUGUAACCUCUAGUCAAC